AUACAUAUUAAAAACCAUCAAAAAUAAAUAAGCGGCCUUAUUACAUUUAAAAACCCAAAACUUCAAACGUAAAUAAAAGGAUGUCCAGUUCACCAGAAGAAAAUCAAACUUUCAGAACGAGUGGCCACUCCGAAUUCCCUUAUAGCUCCAAGCCCACUAUGGUUGGGGAUUACCUGCGUGGAUGAAAAUAAAAGGGAUGAGUUUGGGGAAACUCAGUGUGUAAAAUAACCCAACCAUAGUCUAAAUCAGCUCAACCCACAGAAACAUAAUAAGUUGGCCUUAGCCCAGAACAGAAUUCAGAAUAAAGCCCAUAGGCCCAUAACAGAACAGAACAGAUAUUACAUGUUUAUGCAAAAACCCAACCCAGAUUCAUCCAUAACACCCCCGUACCAGCGUUAACCAUGUGGGGAGACUACUCGACCCACCCAACCGCUACACACCACAGAAUUUGCAGCAGGGCUGCCAGAACAGAUAAUGUGACAGAGUCACCAGAUACAGAUAAUCGUGGCAGGGCCACCAGAACAGAUAUAUGUGGCAGAGCCACCAGAUCAGAUAUUUGUGGAAGAGCCACCAGAUCAGAUAUUUGUGGUAGAGCCACCAGAUCAAAUAAUUGUGGCAUAGCCACCAGGACGCUUCCUCCAUAAUAUAACUCAUGUCCCCAUGCAACAGAUAUAUAUAAUCAUGGCAUACAUCAUACAGAAUCAAGUCACUAUGCUUUUCAGUCAAAAUUAACCCUACGGGUAUAACGGUAAUUUUGCACCUAGGGGUAUAACAGUAAUUUUCCAUACAUAGGGGUAUUAUAGUAAUUUAGCUACUUUUAGGGUUUUCAUGCAUAUCCUAACUAUUUACGUACUAUCAGAACACUUACCGCGCAUACUUACUGAAUUGGGCCCGUUGGCCCAUGAACCCGAUCUUUGGCCCAUUAAGCCCAAAUUAUCAAAAUGUACGAAAUCGCGCGUUCUGCAAUUUAUUACUUUAGAUUACCAAAUAUACAAACCCAACUAUCUUACGAGCAUUCGCACACUCGCAAAUUCCAAAAAUACUGACUUUUCGGCAUUUCGGCUUUUCGGCUUUUGGCAAUCUAGUCUAUGAGAGGGUGUCAGUUACACACCUGUUUGCGACGAUAUGCUGACGAGAUCCACACACGAACUGCCUACAAUUGGAUUACUAACACGUUAAUCUAACUAUUCAAAUACAAACUACGUAUUAACCCCUUACAAUAUUCGGCCAACCACACCUACAGAUCAUAGUAAGCUUAUAAGAAAUCAAUAAGCAACUCGUUAACAAAUUUUUGUCAAUGUUUACCACAUAAUCAUAAUUUCACUGCAAGCUGUCUUCUUGAGAAAUAGUCACUAAAUUAUUUAUAAUUGGAGCUACGAAACUCCAAAUCAAGUGCCGUUAAUUUUCCCUGAAAAUAGACUCAUAUAUCUUUUAUCCAUAAAAUUUUCAGAAUUUUUGGUAUGGCCAAUCAAUACCAGAUUUUUCUCAAAGUUUCCCAUGUUUCACUGUUUGACUAAUCUGACCACCCUUCAUUACGAAUCAAAUUUCUCAUUGUACAGAAUUCAAAAUAUGUUCUUGUUUAUUUCAUUAGAAACUAGACUCAAUAAGCUUUAAUUACAUAAUUUAUUCAGCUUCUAAUUCAUCUCCCACAAUUUAUGGUGAUUUUCCAAAGUCACGUUACUGCUACUGUCCCAAGCAGAUUUAUUACCAAAUCACUCUUUCACACAUACCUUGCAAGCAUGUUAUUUAAACAUGUAUAUCACCAAUCAAUCAUCACAUAUCUAUGAUUUUACUUAAGUAUAAUCUCCAUUUCAUCAUUUUAAAGCAUAACAUGUUAGCUGAUUUUUCCCUUUAACAUCUAAGGCAUAUGCAUGCUCAUUUGUUUGGCUCAACUUCACCUAUCUUCCAUUUUUUCAUCAAAAGAACAUGAAACAACAACCAUUUCCUUCAUUUUAAUUCAUGACUAAAUGCUCACAACACAACUAAAAACCAAAAUAUGCUUCAAGAGUUAAGGUAGAAUCAAGAAGAACUCAUGAACCUCAAAAUAGAAGCAAGGUACCAAGAACUUACCUUCAAUUUUCCUCCUCCUAAUGACCGAAUACUCAAGAGCUUUCUCCUCUCCUUUCUCUUCUCUAACUUUCAGCUAUGAUGAACAAAGAUGGACAAAACUUUGUUCUUUUCACCCCUUUUUCUUUUAAUAAAACUUCAUAUUUCAUCCAUUUAAUUCUUUAAUACAAAAGACAUGAAAUUCUUAUCAUGAAACAUUUACC
rnacentral:lncRNA from 1 species